GAUUAACGCUGGCGGCGUGCAUAACACAUGCCAGUCGAACGAUGAAACUUAACUGAUUUCUUCGGAAUGAUUUUAAGUGGAUUAGUGGCGGACGGGUGAGUAACGCGUGAGUAACCUGCCUUGGAGAAGGGGAUAGCCUUUGGAAACGAAGAAUAAUACCCUAUGAUAUGAUAAUAUCUCAUGAUAUUAUCAUCAAAGAUUUAUCGCUCUAAGAUGGACUUGCGUCUGAUUAGUUAGUUGGUGAGGUAACAGCUCACCAAGGCAGCGAUCAGUAGCCGGCUUGAGAGAGUGUACGGCCACAUUGGGACUGAGACACGGCCCAGACUCCUACGGGAGGCAGCAGUGGGGAAUUUUGCACAAUGGGGGAAACCCUGAUGCAGCGACGCCGCGUGAUUUAGAAGGCCUUCGGGUUGUAAAAAUCUUUUGUAUGGGAAGAAAAUGACAGUACCAUACGAAUAAGGACCGGCUAAUUACGUG
rnacentral:rRNA from 1 species